CAAGGAACACAGUAAUGAUUCAGAACCUGAGCCUUGGAAGACCCCAGGGCCAGUAUUCAAGAGCUCUCUGGGGUGUCCUGUGGACCGCUCAGGGCAGACGAGCAUGUUGCAAGCACAGCAUGGGCAACAGGAGCAAGGUCGGCCGGAAGAAUUUCUAACAAUUCCAAGCAUUCAUUGUGGGAGAAAUCCAAACUCCGUUGUUCUUCUGUGGCUUUUGUUUGUUUGGGGUAUCUUAGUAGUUUUAUUCAGAAACAAUAAAAAGGGGGCUGGCCAAGUCAUCUCCUGGGGUCUGGAGCUAGCACUGCUCUUCAGUUGGUUGAUGAGCAUCAGAAGAGGAGGGUAGCUACAACGUUGUUAGCGGCAACCUAAAACAUCAACAGCCUGCAAGAGCAAGUUAGCACCAGGAGCCAGAAGGACCUAAACAGUCAAGGGCUAGCCUGCUGGGUUCUGUCUUACAGGAUGCGCUAAUUAUUGAGGGAUUGUAAACUCAAUGUUCCUGAAAAAUACAUCUACCAGGACAGCAAAUUAGUCUGGCUUUGUAGGUCUUACAGUGACUGACAAGGUAGGGGAGACACAGCUGUCGCUGAGGGCAGAAUCUUUCUGAUGACUCUUCUGAAUCCCAGAAGGUAAUUGUUCAUUCAUUCAUGUGUCCCUCCCACCCCGACCCGCUCCUGCCCAUCCCUUCAGUUCUAGGCAGGCAGAGUCACCAUGACUUACAUGCCCAGCCCUGGUUGGAUUUUGGUAGUGGUCUUUUUUUUUUUUUUUUUUUGGUUCUUUUUUUCGGAGCUGGGGACCGAACCCAGAGCCUUGCACUUCCUAGGUAAGCGCUUUACCACUGAGCUAAAUCCCCAGCCCCGGUAGUGGUCGUUUUUUAACUUUCCUAUAUGGUCUUGAUAAACUGUUACUCUGGUUGGCUUUCGAACUUGUGAUUCUCUUGCUUCAGGCUUUCCCUGUAGCCCAAACUAUAGGCUUAUAGCAUUAGGUCUCUGUGAGUUGUGAACUUCAGUGAGGAAAUCUAGAGCUAAGAGCACGUUGCAUGACAUAGGCUUAGAGCACUCGCCCUAGACCUUGGGUAGGAAUCACUCUCUCCCACCCCUCUGUUUGAGUGUAUGUACGUGCAUGUGCUCAUGGGCAUAUAUUCACAGAGAGAUUAUUAGUGAAAAGUAGGAAACUUUGAGUGGGAGGGGUUCCAGGAUAGGAAUACCAUUGUCUGUGUUUGUUUGUUUGUUUGUUGUUUUUAAGCAGGUUCUGAGAUAGCCCUGGCUGCCCUCAAACUCGAUACUUAGGUGGAUGACCUUGAACCUCACAAGUUCUGGGUUUCAGAUGCGUACCACCAAGGUACCAGGCAAGCAGUCUACCGCUGAGUUCCAUUCCCAGCCUGGGAGAGGUCUUUAUGUGUGCAGGUGGUCACAUGCACAUGCCAUUACACAGGCGUCCUCAUCAGAUGGCUUCUUCGAUCUACAGCUGUUGCCGUUGGUUUCCUCACCUUCCACUAGACUCCAUCUCCUAGAUGACUAGAGGACCACACUGCCUCACUACAGUCGCUACUGCUCAUCGCUGGGACUCAUAUUUGUACCAAAUCCCCUAGAGGCUAUACCACAUUGCUGGCACAUCAUUCCAUCUGUGGUUAGUUAGAAUCCCACAUCUUUAUUACUUUAUUGGCAAACGUACAGGGAUUCCUACUAAGCCCUGUUUUGGUCAUUCAAUGAACUGAAGUCUUAGAACCAGAGAGCUAUAUGUUAAUUUAAGGGUGUUAUCAUUACUUUAGGUGUGUGCAGGGCUAGUGAGAUAUCUCAGGGGUUAAGAGCACUGGCUGCUUUUCCAGAGAACCUGGGUUCUGCAACUCAGCACUCGUGUGGUAAAGGCAAGAGGAUCAGGAGUUCACAGUCAUCCAGCUAAGUAGCAAGUUUGAAGGCAGCCUGGGCUAUAUCAGUUUCCAGUACUGUCAUGGCAGCUGACAGAGAAUCCGCAGCCUCUUCUGGCCUUGGAGGGCACUACACAGAUGCAUUACACAGAAAAAAGCACCCAUACGCAAAACACAUAAAAUAAAAAGAAAUCAAUCUUAAGAAACCAGCUGGAUAUAGUGACACACGCCUUCAAUCCUAGUGUUUGGGAAGCAGAGGCAGGAGGAUCUCUGAGUUCAAGGCCAGCCUGGUCUACAUAGAAAGUUCCAAGACAGCCAGAGCUAAGUAGAAAUACCCUGUCUCAGAAAGAUAAUAAUACUAGUAAUAAUGAUAACAUUUAAAGUACACAUAUGUAAUAGUAUAUGAUUUAUUUAUAAUUAACCAAGACAUACUUUAUUUCUGCAGCAAAGUAGAAAAGUCAAUUCUAGCUUAAGGUUAUACUUCUUUUUUUUUCCUUGUUUGCUUUUCUACUUUAAAGGUUAUACUUCUAUACAAAAUUAUUAAAAACAAAAAAAAAUGAUUAAAAUACUUUCAAGUAAAAUAUGAGCUUAUAAGUACUUAUCUUUUUUGAGGGGGAAACAGUUUCAAGACAGGGUUUCUGUGUAUCGCAGACUGGCUUUGAACUCAGAGAUCUGCCUGCUUCUGCCUCUCAAGUGCUGAGAUCAAAGGCAUGAGCCAUCACUACCAGGCCUUUUUGUUUUGUUUUUAUUUAAGUGCUAAUCAAAUGACAAAAUAACAUUCUUGUAUGUAAGGAGUUCUAUCAACAUUUUAAAAACAUACUGUGGUUGACUAGAAUGCAUGAAACCCCCAGUCUGAUCGUUAACACUACCACGGCAGACGAGGGAGAGGGAAAGGGAGAGCCCAGCCUGAGAAUGCAUGUGCACACCUGGGUGUUUCUAUGUCUGUUAACCCAGCCAUAGUGGAAUGACCCUGUGACUCCAGCUACUCCAGAGGCUGAGGCUGAGGGGGGAUGAACUGCUUUAGCAAAGAAGUUUAAGGUCAGCUGUUUUAAAAGUGACAGAAGAUCAAGUUUGGAUCUUAAGUCCAAAAUGGAUCUUAUGAAAAUUCUGGUUGAUAAUGCCAAAACAUCGGAUCUUUACAGAGCAUUGCUCAUUGAUACUGUCAAGCAGAAGCCAUCUGCAUAGGCAGCUCUCAGUGGCUCUAUAGACACAGUGAUGAGUAGAGAUUAAAGAAUGGAUAAAAUUGCAAAAGCAACAGAAAGUCAUCAUCAGUGCCAGUGACACAUACUGGCCAGACACCUCAUUCUAGCAUGAUGCAGUAGCAUUUAUGUGGCUGCUUCAGCCACCUCAGCAACAAAGAACCACACGACAGAAGCAGAUUUCCAUCCAAAGAGCAUUAAGAAGGGAGCCCUGGGAUUCUCUCUUACAUCUGCACACAGACCUAAUAAAAGGCCUCUUCUCAUCAGCCUGCAACAGGGGAAACAAGGUAGGGAAUGGGCUGCUGGUCCCUGGGUGUGCACUAGACAGUGACAUCAGGGACUGCCCCACAGGGCCAGUGGCUGAUCUUCUAGAGACAGGAGACCAGGUCCAGACAGAUGGAAUGAUUUCUCAGGAACGCAGAGCUGGAAGUCGGUUUUUGUUUUGGAGACUGCCUCUCGCAUAGCCCAGGCUGGCCCUAAACUCUGCAAACAGGUUCUGAGAUCACAGGCGUGUGGGACAUGCCCAGCAGCCGGUAAACUUGCACUCUGAAUCCCUAAGCUUACUCAGUGAUCUCUGCACCUUACCACCUUGCCGCCUUUGCUAAAGGCCUCUACACAGUCAACUGCUUUUGAGAUGAUUUUAAGUAGACUUCUAGUUGAUGUACACAUUCUUUAUUUAGGGUCCUUCUUCCCAGGUGUAUUAGUACUUGCCUAAAAUCCCAGCACUGGGGAGCUGAGGCAGAAGGAUCACAUGUUCAAACUCAGUCUACAUAGUAAGAUUCUGCUUCCGUGGGAUGGACAGAUGGAGAUAUUUAUCCCUUAAGCUGUAGCUCAGGAGUAGAGUACACUAGUGUAAAGCCCUGUCAAUCCUCAGCAACACACACACACACACACACACACACACACACACACACACACACACACACACCCGUUUAACUGUUACUAUGUUUGUAAGUCUACUGAAGAUCAACAAUUCAAGUGACAAUAACCUGGUGUAAGAUACCUGAUUACAUUACAGUUCCUGCAACACUCCUAAUGGUUUGACAGUCAUCUCUGACCUCACUUGAGGUAGAUAACCAACUUAGCAUUUCAAAAUGGUCAGCCAGCUAAAAGCCCUGGAGCUGCUUGCUGGUCAAGCCACAUUUCCUGUUUUAGACUGAAAAGGCUACUUGGAUAGCCCUGCAUUCCUCUCCUCACUCAGCACAGCUGUCCCCUACUUCCCUGAUGAGGGUAAGCAGGAGUCUGCAGGCAAGUUUGGCUGGAAGGUAAGACAGCAGACAGGGUGAGUUAAUGCUUGGCCAGAGGUCACACUUAAGUGGAUCAUUGAGCUCUACAGAAUGACCCCUUAGCUAUCCAGCCUGUCAGUAAAGUUCUUUAGUUUGUUUCUUUAGUUUUGGUAAAUCUAUAAAGACUGACCCCUGCCUGGUAUCGAACACACUUCAGCUGAGGAAGUGAAAAAGUUGAGUGAUGGCGAGUUCUAUAAGCAGGCUUCAUUGAUACUUGGGCUACAAACUGAGAGAUGCCACAGGAUCCUUCUUUUUAGAAGGGCAUGUGUAAACUGUGUCUCUCUUAAAGACCCAACAAGAGAUCAUUGUAACAGCCACCCACAAAAGCUCCUUUGGUUCUUGUGAUAUCUUAAAAAGUUUCUAUUCCUAUAGUAAAACAUCAUGAGCAAACCAACUUGGGGAGGAAAGGGUGUAUUUGGCUUAUCUACCCUGGGUCACUGAGGGAAGCCAAGGCAGGAACUGAAGCAGAGCCCAUGGAGGAGAGCUGCUUACUGGCUUGUUCCUCAUGGCCUGCUCAGCAUCCUUUGUUGUACAACCCAGAGCUACCUUUCCAGUGCCCAGACACACAGAGACACAGGCACACACAGAGACACAGACACAGACAUGACACAGACACACACAGAGACAUAUACAGACACAGACAGAGACACACACAGACAGAGACACAUACACACACAGAGACACACACACACACAGAGACAUGACACAGACACAUACACACACGCACACAGAGACAUGACACAGACACAUACAUACACACACACACACACACGCAAGACAUAUCAGGGAGCUGGGUCUGUCAUAUCAAUUAUUAAUUAAAAAAAGCCCCAGAGACUUGCCUACAGGUGAGUAGAAAUGAUAGAAGCAUUUUCUCAAUUAAGAUUCCCUUUUCCCAGGUAUGAUUCGGUUUGUGUUGACAAAACCAACCAGCACACGUGACAAGAAACCAAUCUGCCCAUAGCUAGAUGUGCCAAUGCCCUCCUAGGCUCCAACUGCAACAUCCCCAUGUGCUUUUGCCCUCUGCAGCACCAGCAGAGUGGACUUCAGCUCACAAACUCUUAUAAGCUCUUAACAGUUUCAGAAUCCUGCUUUUCUCCCAGGGUUACCUCUUUCUUGUCCUUAUCCUUAAAUGCCACAUAAAAGGGAGGUGUAAGCCUAAUUAGAUAGACCAAGCUGAAAGAUUACUUUACAAAAUAUAAAAUGAAACAUGUUUUUGAUUGUUCAGUUAUUUGUUUUGGCAGCUUCAGUCAAAAUCAAGGCAACUGGUCUGAUUACAAAGGGCCAGGCCAAACAAUCUGUCCAAACAAGAAGGAAGGCUGGGCAGGAGGCACAUGCUUGUAAGCUUAAGCUCAGGCAGCCAAUGCAGUAGGUGAGUGCCAGGCCAGUCUGGACACAAAGCAAGACCCUGUCUCAAAAAAGAAAAGUUACAAUGGCACAACCAAGAACAACACCAAAGCAGUCUCCAGCUGGAGUUUAAGGGGGUGGGAGGGGGCAGCAUCUCUGGUGGGGCUCCCAGGCUUCCAUCCUGAAGAAGGGAGAGGAUACUCUGGCUGAACAGACUCAGGCACUUGGAGCUCAGACUCCUCCCUUCAGCACCCACACAGUGCCUGCCACGAUGGGUGUCAACAUGCUGGGUUAAUUAUCUAAAGUUGCUAAUGACUCAGGCUCCAGCAGAGUGUGUCCCCCACAGACUCACAGCAGGAGCCUAGUUCUGUUCCCACUUAGUUUUACAUUCGUGUGUAUUUAACAGGAAAGUGCCACAUUUAUAAAACAAACACCCAAAUUGGCACACAAAACCUCUUUGCCAUUAGCAUGAGUGAUCAAAAAGUUUAAAUAGGAAGAUGUUGAUAAUUAUUAAAAGUGGUGAUGGUUUCUAAUGCUAUUUCUCCCACUUUUGUGUACAGCUGAAAAUUUCCAUCUAAAAACGGAGAAUUUCAAUUAAAAUUUCCAGGGGUUGCCAUGAGCAUAAAAAUGGCCAUGCAGGCCCUGAGCAGUCUCUCGCAGGCCCUGAGCAGUGUGACAGCGCUUCCAGAGCACUCUGCCCAGCUCCCACCUUCCUGCCAGGGGUGAUAUGUAGCACACCCCACCAGUGAGCAAGGCCGUCAGCUCACUGUAGCUCUCUCAGUGACCAGAACCUUUGCUCCAGGGAACCAGGUCUCCCCGCUCAUCUCCAUAGUCAGCUGGCUUCCUCUGACAACAGAAAGAACUGGGGAGGGAAAAAAUGGUUUGGGUUUUUGUUUGGUUGGCUGUUUUUCAGGUUUCCCUCAGACUGGACAUCCUCCUGCCUCAGCCUCUCAAGUAUUGGAUGGCACAUAUGUGCCAUCAUACCCAGCAGGAAUCUUUACAUAAAACAGGUUUUUGAUGAACCAAGGCUUGAGCUGAGACAGGGGAGGGCAAAGCUGAAGCAGUCAGACCCAGAGGCUGGGCCACUAUGGGGCAGAGGCAUCUUCCAAGUUUAAGGCUCAGGCAGACACUUUAGGCUCCCUUUAGGAAGGGAACUGAAGCACCCGACACAGAAAGUGGUAGAGGAGACGGCCAUUGUAGCCUUGCUCCGUCCCUAAGCCCUACUGCAUUCUGACUCAUACCAGAUUCUCCGCUCUGAUUACAUUUGGUGAGACACUUCACUGCAUUUCACAGAGAUCUAGAAUUUAGAUUACAAGAAGGGAGAAAAAAAACCCUAAUAGGGGAACAAAUGAAACAAGAAUGGCAAAAUGUGAAAGAUACUAAUGUGGACAACGCUGGCACAGGCCUGCUGGCACAGGCCUGGGAUGCCAGCUCCUCAAGAGGCUGAAGAGAGGAUCAAAAGUUCAGGGCCUGCCUGAACUACAGAGUGAGUUCAAAGCCAGCAUGGGCCACUUAGUGAAACCUUGUCUCAAAUUAAAAAGUACAAGAUGGAUGGAGAUACCGUUCAGUGGUAGAACACUUGCCCAGCAUGCACAAGGUCCUGGGUUCAGUGCCAAGCAGACAAAGGGGGGAAAAAACAAAAAACAAAAACUUGGAAGAUACUGAAAGCAGUCAUCAGCAUAUACAGUUGGCUCAACAAACAAGCUUCCCUUGCCCUCGCAGAGUAUGUGUAUGGCUGUGCUUUGUUUGUCUUUCUCGUUUAUCUACUGCCACUUAAUUUUACUAGCGAUAACCCUUUACAGACAUACAUUUGUUUAUUUGUAUAUGGUCGCACACCGCAGUGUGAGUGCGGAGGUCAGAGGACAACUCGUGGGAACAGGUUCUCUCCUACCAUGUGGGUUCUUGGGAUUGGACUCAGGUAGUCAGAUUUGGCAGGAAGUACCUUUACUCCCUGAGCCAUCUCACGGCCCCGUUACAGAUGCUCUUAAAGCACAAAGUAAGCAUAUGUAGCUGCCUGGCAGAGCAAUUGCCUCGCGUGUUGAGGUUGAUCCCCAGCACUGGAAAACAUAAAAUAAAUGAAUAAAGAACAAAAGGAGUAUUUAAUUUCCCCAAAGAAGUAGUAACAUAUAGGAAAAAGUAGGUCAGGAAAAAUAAAAUAAUCUAGAACGUUUAGCUAGUAUAGCACACUAGGUAAUUCUAAAUAAAGAUACUGGGCUAAGCAAAACUCUGUAACCCUUACAUCCCGUUUGGGGUUUAAAAGAGCAUAGGGUACUACCCUACCUAGCUUCUUGCUCACGAUGAGACACACAGCACUCUAUUCUUCAGUGUCACAAGUCACUAGAGCCUAUGACAACUGUUUAGGGCAGCCAGGUGGAGCACACAGUAUCCUUACCAUCAACUAUCUGGCCUCCUCCAGGUCCCACGGAACUCGAGAACAUACUACAUUCUCAGGGUGCAGCCCUUUGUUAAGCAGGACGCUUCUGCCAAGCUGCAGAAUCCUCAAAGCAUUCACCGUCUCUGGGGGUGGGGUUUGCUAGAAAUUUACAAUCAGUUGUCCCCACGAGGAGCCAAGCUACCCAGAGAGAACAGGACUGCGUGACCAGAUUCUUUUUGGGUUGUUAGUUUCUGGUUUAAUUAUUCCCCCUUCUUUCUUCCCUUCCUUGUUUCCUCCAUCCCUCCUUCCUGGAUUCUCUAUUUAAUCAAAACUGGAUCUGGUUGCUUACUUAUAGCUGAGUUAAAUUGGUUUGAAAUCUUUUGUCAAACAAAUAGGCAAACUCGUAGAAGCUGGACGGAGUCUGUUCCUCUCUGAAGCCUUCUGUCCCAGUGUGGAAGGGAGAACCCAAGCCCAGCUCUGCUGGCUUCACUGUGGUCACGCAGUCCAGCCCAGACUUUAGGCGUUUCUGAGCCACCACAAAGAAAGCUGACAAGUGACCCUUCACUGACUUCUCACAGGCUCACUAGCAGUGACCGUCUAGACCACAGACCAGUGGUGUAAGAGGCCCUAAGUCUCACUGAGACACAUCCAGCACCCGAGCAUUUUAAUGAGAGAAAUCUGAAUGCCGCAGACGUGUGUCCUCCACCCCUUAACACAGCCCUCAGGGCAGACCAUUUACUCUUCUUGGUACACUGAAAAUGGGCAAAGAGAAAUGGCCGAGCGUGAAGCUGGUAGAUCUGUGGAGUUUCAGUGUCUUUGUUUGGAUAAUGAGUUAUUUUCCUUUCUUUUCUUUGUGGCAGUGGGGAACAAACCAGGGUCUCAGUAAAAGUUUCGGCAAGGACCCUGCCCCUGAGCUUUAUUUCCUCACCCAGGAUCCCAGCGCUGAGGGUUUUGUUUUAAAUUUCAUCUGAUGCUUCAAGUGAAAGUGGUAAUCAUCAUGGAACAAAGAACUUGACAUAUAUGAAGUAUGCAAAUCUGUGCAACCAUUUCACCACUUGCUCCAACACCAGAAUGAAAUGAGGAAGCUAGAACCCUGUCCCCUCUUUGAUUUUCUGCAUUUCUUACUUCUGCUUACUUGGGGGGGGGGGGAUAUUUGAGGUUUUAUAGUUUCUGGGAAUCAUUUGUAACAGUAAUGGGAUGACAAGCUGACGGAUUAACUGUCACUGAUGUGUGUCCUAGCUGGGAGGUAGAGAGCCAGGGUGUCAGCUUGGCGCAGACACUAACCUCUCUCUCCUCUUUCUGGGACUAUAAGCCAACCUUAAAGCCUGCUCAUGAAGCUGAAGUUAAGAGGACCAGGAACAGCAAACUGUAUGCACACCUCUUCCUUGACCCAGGGAUCCAGGCAUGCUUCCUGGAGGCUGCUGGUCCCAGUCAGGAGAGUCAAAGGAAGGCAAGGUUCUCUCAGACUAAAAGCAAGGGUUUGUUUCUUGGCUGCUGAACAGACAAGUCAGGGGCACUGAGAGCCUAGAGUAACUAGGAAAGUCUAGGCCCGGGGCUGGGAGGCUAGCUCAGUUGGUAAAGUGCAAAGCCCCGGAUUUAAUCCCCACCACCCAGUAAAACAGGCAUGGUGGUCACAAGUCUGUACUCCCAGCACAGGGAGGUAGUAGGAGAACCCCAAAACAGUUCAAGGUCAUCCUCAAUUACAUGGCAAGCUGAAGGCCAGCCUGGGCUACAGGAGACCCUGCUUCACAAAGGAAGUUCGAGCCUUGUUGGAUUAUUAUUUUUAAAGGCAGUCAAGUAUUUUUAAUCAAGUUAAUUUAAUAAGAAUUUAUUCACACGCUCAACAAAUAAAAACUGUAAGAUUGAGAGUGUGAGCACCCUUUACUCCCUUCCCCUUCUUGCUUCCUGACAGACAGCCAGGGUAACAGCCGAAAGAGUCCUUACCUAAGGCCUAUGUAUGCACAGCAAGUAGGAGCAGAUGGCACUUCUACCCCUCUCUUCUAGCAUGGAUAGUAACAUAUUACACAUUAUAGCUUGCCUUUUAUGUACCUCCUCAGCUGUGUGUGAAUGUGUGAGGAGGCCAGACAGAGGUCCACACUGGCAUCUCUGGUCCACUGCUGCUCUUCUGAAAGACUCUCACUGCUCUGGAACUUGCUAAGCAGACCGGCCAGUGACUCCAGCACGCACCAGCAUACCUGGCUUUUGUGACUGUUCUGGGGAUUGAACCCGGUUCUGCUGGGUUUACUGAAUUACUCCAACCUCCUUUUUAUUUUUUUAAUUUUUUUUUCAAUAAUAUGGAUUAAAUUCAGGGUUCUGUUCAUGCUGGGCCAGUAGCCUACUACUGAGCUAACUCCUUGUCCUUACCACUUGCUUUUUAAUUUUAUUUUUAUUUUUUGACAUGUACUACUUUUAUGAGAAGGUUGGACGGGGCAGUGUGGAGGGCGGGCACACACACGGCAGCCCCCGUGCAGAGGUCAGAGCACUCCACGAGUGUUCUGGUGACUGAGUUCAAUCGUCAGGUCUGGCAGCAAUUGCCUUUAACAACCAAGCUACCUUGCCUUAGCCAUUCUUGCUCUUCCACUAAAUUCCUGGGUUCAUUCCGGCUCUUAGCUUCUGCGCUCCUCCUUCUGUCUUCUUUUCUCUUCAGCAUUCCUUCUGCUCCAACCUCCAGAGAGCUGGGGUGGUAACACCAGCCCUUUGCUGUCUUUACACAUGUCCACACCCUCAGUGGGGUGCUCUCCUCCUCACUGACCAUGUUGGCUGAUUGCUCCAGGUCCUGCAACAAUGACUCCUGACAGCGCCAGGAUCUCAGCCCCUUCCUCUUCCUCCUCUAUUGGCUCUUCCCAUGAGCGCAGCCACGAAGGCGCUCACACGUGAAGCUGGGGGAGGGGCAGGGCAGAAGGAUUCACCAUUCUCCCUGCUAAGCAUUCUUCCAAGCAACUAAGAUUCCUGGUAUGGAGGUGCUUCAGCUCCCUGCUCAGCUCUCAACUCCCAGCCUCCCUUUUUUACCCCACUGAAAUUCCCAGGGCACCACAGCCUUUCCUGAUGCUAAAUACUAAUGGGCUUUUCAGUGCCUAUAUCACUGACAUCUCUAAAGUAUCUGACAUUGGGAUGUUGUGCUUUGAAACCUGUUCCAUGAUUCUAUGACUCCUACUUCCCUGUCUCUGCAGACUUCUGAAUACAGAAGCCAUCCUUCAAAUGCUAAAUUCCCCAGGAAGUCACACAAUUCUAUCAACAGCUCAGAUCUCUCCAGAGCUGCAGACUGCUAUCAACAGCCUGAGGGCUGGGUGCCUGGCACUUCCCUGGAGGUUUCUGUCCUUUAAAUGUCACUGUGCGGCUACCCUCUUGCCCAGCACUGACUUGUCACUUUGCACCCCCUUAGGCAAUGGCCCCAUGGGGCUGCCUAACCCCCAGUGUUUGGGGUCCCUCUCCAUUUGGAUCACGAGCAAUGCUGCUUACACGACCCUGUGUCUUCCACACCUCCCUGAUCUUUAACAACGUUUACCAUCCCCAUCGUAUCUGAAACCGCCUUGAGAUUUGUUUUAAUAAAUAAAAAAAAUUAUUUUUGAUUGUUUUGAGACAAAGUCCCACAUGUGUAGCCCAGACUGGCCUGAAACUUACCAGAUCCACAUGGUAUGACUCCAUGCUGAGCUAUAACUGACUUUUGGUCUCUAUUCUUGUCACCUCCUACCUUACUUCCACAGUGCAGUCAGAAUAAGCCCCUAAAACAUGAGUCUAAUGACACUACUUAGCAGUGUAAAAGUUAUUAACAACAUAAUCUUUAAAAAUACUGUCUGGGGACUGGGGAUUUAGCUCAGUGGUAGAGCGCUUACCUAGGAAGCGCAAGGCCCUGGGUUCGGUCCCCAGCUCCGAAAAAAAGAACCAAAAAAAAAAAAAAAAAAAAAAUACUGUCUGGGUGACUUCUCUCUUGCUGCGAUAAGACACCAAGACCAAGGCAACUUAAGCAGGCAGAGUUGACUGGAGGCUCUGUUUCAGAGGGCCAGGUUCCCUGCCCAUCUUGGCAAGGAGCAUGGCAGCAGGCAGACAGGCAUGGCACUGGAGCAGGAACUAAGAGUAUAUUUAGAUCCACAAGCAGGAGGCAGAGAGUUAAGUGUAAACUGUAUGGGCUCUUGAAACUUCCAAGUCUGCCCCUUUUGGCAAACCUCCUUAAACAAAACCAUAGCAUCUAAUCCUACUCUCUAACAGUUCCACUAACUGGGACCAAGGAUUCAAAUAUGUCAGCCCAUGGGGGCCAUUCUCAUCCAAACCUCUGACACUCCAAAUAAGCCUAAAGCGAAAAUAAGAUAAACUUGAAAACCACCGUGGAAAUAAAUGUUCAAUAGCUGGGGGGUGGGAGGAGGGAAUUGAAAAGCCACAUGAAAGUAAACCAAUAUUUACAAAUGUAAUAUAAACCUACAGUAAUUAGUCAAAACAGUGUGGCAGGGGACAGGGGUAGACACAUCAGUAAAGAGGAAGCCAGCAGGUGGCAAUGCCUGCAACUCAAGCACUGGACCAACUGUGCUACAUCCCCAGCCCCACAACUUUUUUUAAAUUUGCAUGAAAAAAAUCCUAUCAUAUAAUCUAAUAAAUAGCAAACUGUGAAAAUACUUGCAACUCAAAUCACAGAAAAAUGGCCACAUCUUUUAAAAAUAUAACACCCAACCACCAAAAUUAAGGGUAGAAGACAAUGUCAUGAGGAUAAGGAUAACAUAAAGCCACAGGGGAGAUGCACAUUCCAUUUAUAAGAAAAAGCAAAUCAAAGCUACACAGAGGACUGGGAGAGCCUGCUCAGUGGGUAAAGCACAAGGAAUUACAUCCCCAGCUCUGACGCACAAUGCUGCCAUGGAGGUAAGCACCUGGAGCCCCAACUCUAGGGAGGAAGCAACAGGUUGAUGGCCAGACAGACUAGCCCCAGGAGGGGGGGGGCUCAAAAACAAACAGGCAAACAAAACCAAAGGAGCUGGGAAGGUGGCUCAGUGGGCUAGCUGGCCUGGCAUAUGCAGCUGCAAGUAACUAAUAGACCCUGCCUCAAACAAGGUAAGGACCCACUUCCCAGGUUAUCUCUGAUCUCAGACCGGUUACAGAGUACACGCCAGGGUACCUGUACUCACAUGCUUGAACACAUAUGCACUUACACAGUACACACAUACAAGUGCAUGCUUAAAAAAAGAUUUCUUUUAAAAAAGCUAGGUUGAUGGCUCCUGAGAAACCACACUGAAGGUUGACACCUUAGGCAUCCAUGUGACUGUGCCCCUGCACACACUCAGCAUUACUUACACACACUUACACUUACACACACACACACACACACACACACACACACACAAGCCUUUCUCUCUCACACACAGACGCGCACACACACACAAGUAUCUCUCAACACACACAAGUCUCUCUCUCUCACACAUAGACAUGUGUGCUCACACACACACACACACACUCACACACACACGCUUACACACUAUAUACAGGCAUUUUAUGAGCUUAAGAAAGUUUAACAAAGGGGCUGGGGAUUUAGCUCAGUGGUAGAGCGCUUACCUAGGAAGCGCAAGGCCCUGGGUUCGGUCCCCAGCUCCGAAAAAAAGAACCAAAAAAAAAAAAAAAAAAGUUUAACAAAGACCAGAAAGUUUAGCAAAACCCUGGGGAGGCUAUGGGUAAGCAGGCUCCCCAACAGAACAGACCUGGGUAUAAGGUGGCAGACAUUCUAGAGAGGAUGACCUGACAGUGCGAAGUAAAAUUACAACUGUUCCUUCCAGAGGUCCUGAGUUCAAUUCCCAGCACGGUAGCGCACAACCAUCUGUAAUGGGAUCUGAUGCCUUUUUCUGGUGUGUCUGAAGACAACCUCAGUAUACUUAUAUAUAAUAAAUAAAUCUUUUUAAAAAAUCUUUAAAAAAAAAAAAGAGUAAGAAAAUGUGAACACAGUGGCCCAUGGAAGGGACCUAGGAGCUGCUGCAGCAGAGAUGCAAGGGCUACUCUAGACUGAACGUGCUUUCGUUUGCCC